CCUACGGGAGGCUGCAGUAAGGAAUAUUGGUCAAUGGACGAAAGUCUGAACCAGCCAUGCCGCGUGGAGGAUGAAGGUCCUCUGGAUUGUAAACUUCUUUUAUAUGGGACGAAAAAAGGCCUUUCUAGGUCGACUGACGGUACCAUAUGAAUAAGCACCGGCUAACUCCGUGCCAGCAGCCGCGGUAAUACGGAGGGUGCAAGCGUUAUCCGGAUUCACUGGGUUUAAAGGGUGCGUAGGUGGGUUGGUAAGUCAGUGGUGAAAUCUCCGAGCUUAACUUGGGAACUGCCAUUGAUACUAUCAGUCUUGAAUAUUGUGGAGGUUAGCGGAAUAUGUCAUGUAGCGGUGAAAUGCUUAGAUAUGACAUAGAACACCAAUUGCGAAGGCAGCUGGCUACACAUAUAUUGACACUGAGGCACGAAAGCGUGGGGAUCAAACAGGAUUAGAUACCCUUGUAGUC
rnacentral:rRNA from 1 species